rnacentral:rRNA from 1 species
GAUGAACGCUGGCGGCAUGCCUAAGACAUGCAAGUCGAACGAAGUGGCCCGAUGAAGCGGAGUGCUUGCACAAAGUAGAUUUGGUUUUCCACUUAGUGGCGCAAGGGUGAGUAACACGUGGGUUAUCUACCUCAGAGACUGGAAUAACAAUUGGAAACGAUUGCUAAUGCCGGAUGAUAUGUAAAACGAUACGUUGUUUUAUAUUAAAAGGAGCCUUUAAAGCUUCACUUUGAGAUGAGCCUGCGGCGUAUUAGCUAGUUGGUAAGGUAAUGGCUUACCAAGGCGACGAUGCGUAGCCGGCCUGAGAGGGUGAUCGGCCACAUUGGGACUGAGACACGGCCCAAAACUCCUACGGGAGGCAGCAGUGGGGAAUAUUGGGCAAUGGGCGAAAGCCUGACCCAGCAACGCCGCGUGAGGGAAGAAGGUUUCGGAUUGUAAACCUCUGUCCUCAGGGACGAAGGAAGUGACGGUACCUGAGGAGGAAGCCCCGGCUAACUACGUGCCAGCAGCCG